rnacentral:rRNA from 1 species
AAACUUAAAGGAAUUGACGGGGACCCGCACAAGCGGUGGAUGAUGUGGUUUAAUUCGAUGCAACGCGAAAAACCUUACCCACCUUUGACAUGUACGGAAUCCUGCAGAGACGCAGGAGUGCUCGAAAGAGAGCCGUAACACAGGUGCUGCAUGGCUGUCGUCAGCUCGUGUCGUGAGAUGUUGGGUUAAGUCCCGCAACGAGCGCAACCCUUGCCAUUAGUUGCUACGAAAGGGCACUCUAAUGGGACUGCCGGUGACAAACCGGAGGAAGGUGGGGAUGACGUCAAGUCCUCAUGGCCCUUAUAGGUGGGGCUACACACGUCAUACAAUGGCUGGUACAAAGGGUUGCCAACCCGCGAGGGGAGCCAAUCCCACAAAGCCAGUCGUAGUCCGGAUCGCAGUCUGCAACUCGACUGCGUGAAGUCGGAAUCGCUAGUAAUCGUGGAUCAGCAUGUCACGGUGAAUACGUUCCCGGGUCUUGUACACACCGCCCGUCACACCAUGGGAGCGGGUUCUGCCAGAAGUAGUUAGCCUAACCGCAAGGAGGGCGAUUACCACGGCAGGGUUCGUGACUGGGGUGAAGUCGUAACAAGGUAGCCGUAUCGGAAGGUGCGGCUGGAUCACCUCCUUU